rnacentral:rRNA from 1 species
CGGACAGAGCUGGCGUAUCUGGCCUGCAUUCAGCCUUGGAGCAUCUGGCGUUGUGGUGUUGCUCUCCAGAUUGGGACAGCAUUGCUUCUGCUGGGUGAACCGUGGUGCAUUUGCAGGUGGAGUGCGCCGAGGCGCCUGAGUCAGCGGCAUGAGCUUGGUUCUGAGGCCAGCCUUGCAAAAGGUCUGGUACCCGUGCUGGGGGAGUGCUGUUUGACUUGGGUGGUGGUAUGGGGCAAUGGUUUCGGGCUCGUGUGGGUGCCGAGCUGGCAGUCGGUGGCGGUCGCAUGCGACACGUGCCAGCGGUCAGUUCGGUCCUGCUCGAGCUCUCACAGCCCGUCCUCGGUGUAAAAGGCAGUCAUCUGUCCGACCCGUCUUGAAACACGGACCAAGGAGUUUAGCGUGUGCGCGAGUCAUUGGGUGUUGAAAACCCAAAGGCGCAAUGAAAGUGAAGGUGUCCCUUGUGGAACUGAUGUGUGAUCCUGGUCACCUCGGUGCAUCCGGGCGCAACAUAGUCCCGUCCUGACCGCUUGCGGUGGGGCGGAGACAGAGCGUACGCGCUGAG